AGUGAACGCUGGCGGUAGGCCUAACACAUGCAAGUCGAACGGCAGCACAGUAAGAGCUUGCUCUUACGGGUGGCGAGUGGCGGACGGGUGAGGAAUACAUCGGAAUCUACUUUUUCGUGGGGGAUAACGUAGGUAAACUUACGCUAAUACCGCAUACGACCUACGGGUGAAAGCAGGGGAUCUUCGGACCUUGCGCGAUUGAAUGAGCCGAUGUCGGAUUAGCUAGUUGGCGGGGUAAAGGCCCACCAAGGCGACGAUCCGUAGCUGGUCUGAGAGGAUGAUCAGCCACACUGGAACUGAGACACGGUCCAGACUCCUACGGGAGGCAGCAGUGGGGAAUAUUGGACAAUGGGCGCAAGCAUGAUCCAGCCAUACCGCGUGGGUGAAGAAGGCCUUCGGGUUGUAAAGCCCUUUUGUUGGGAAAGAAAAGCAGCAGGUUAAUACCCAGCUGUUCUGACGGUACCCAAAGAAUAAGCACCGGCUAACUUCGUG
rnacentral:rRNA from 1 species